rnacentral:rRNA from 1 species
UUAGAGUUUGAUCCUGGCUCAAGACGAACGCUGGCGGCGCGCCUAACACAUGCAAGUCGAACGGAGCUUAGAGAGCUUGCUUUUUAAGCUUAGUGGCGAACGGGUGAGUAACGCGUGAGUGACCUGCCCUAGAGUGGGGGACAACAGUUGGAAACGACUGCUAAUACCGCAUAAGCCCACGGUACCGCAUGGUACUGAGGGAAAAGGAUUUAUUCGCUUUAGGAUGGACUCGCGUCCAAUUAGCUAGUUGGUGAGGUAACGGCCCACCAAGGCGACGAUUGGUAGCCGGACUGAGAGGUUGAACGGCCACAUUGGGACUGAGACACGGCCCAGACUCCUACGGGAGGCAGCAGUGGGGGAUAUUGCACAAUGGGGGAAACCCUGAUGCAGCGACGCCGCGUGGAGGAAGAAGGUUUUCGGAUUGUAAACUCCUGUCGUUAGGGACGAUAAUGACGGUACCUAACAAGAAAGCACCGGCUAACUACGUGCCAGCAGCCGCGGUAAAACGUAGGGUGCAAGCGUUGUCCGGAAUUACUGGGUGUAAAGGGAGCGCAGGCGGGAAGACAAGUUGGAAGUGAAAACCAUGGGCUCAACCCAUGAAUUGCUUUCAAAACUGUUUUUCUUGAGUAGUGCAGAGGUAGAUGGAAUUCCCGGUGUAGCGGUGGAAUGCGUAGAUAUCGGGAGGAACACCAGUGGCGAAGGCGGUCUACUGGGCACCAACUGACGCUGAGGCUCGAAAGCAUGGGUAGCAAACAGGAUUAGAUACCCUGAUAGUCCAUGCCGUAAAACGAUGAUUAAUUAGGUGUGGGGGGAUUGACCCCCUCAGUGCCGCAGGUAACACAAUAAGUAAUCCACCUGGGGAGUACGACCGCAAGGUUGAAACUCAAAGGAAUUGACGGGGGCCCGCACAAGCAGUGGAGUAUGUGGUUUAAUUCGAAGCAACGCGAAGAACCUUACCAGGUCUUGACAUCCGAUGCAUAACACAGAGAUGUGUGAAAUCCUUCGGGACAUCGAGACAGGUGGUGCAUGGUUGUCGUCAGCUCGUGUCGUGAGAUGUUGGGUUAAGUCCCGCAACGAGCGCAACCCUUAUUGCCAGUUACUACGUUAAGAGGACUCUGGCGAGACUGCCGUUGACAAAACGGAGGAAGGUGGGGAUGACGUCAAAUCAUCAUGCCCUUUAUGACCUGGGCUACACACGUACUACAAUGGCGUUAAACAAAGAGAAGCAAGACCGCGAGGUGGAGCAAAACUCAAAAACAACGUCUCAGUUCAGAUUGCAGGCUGCAACUCGCCUGCAUGAAGUCGGAAUUGCUAGUAAUCGCGGAUCAGCAUGCCGCGGUGAAUACGUUCCCGGGCCUUGCAC